rnacentral:rRNA from 1 species
GAUGAACGCUAGCGACAGGCUUAAUACAUGCAAGUCGAGGGGCAGCAGUUUUGUAGCAAUACAGAAGCUGGCGACCGGCAAACGGGUGCGGAACACGUACGCAACCUUCCUUUAACUGGAAGAUAGCCCACCGAAAGGUGGAUUAAUACUCCAUAAUAUAUUGAAGAGGCAUCUUUUUGAUAUUAAAGCUCCGGCGGUUAAAGAUGGGCGUGCGUCUGAUUAGGUAGUUGGCGGGGUAACGGCCCACCAAGCCUUCGAUCAGUAGCUGAUGUGAGAGCAUGAUCAGCCACACGGGCACUGAGACACGGGCCCGACUCCUACGGGAGGCAGCAGUAAGGAAUAUUGGUCAAUGGACGCAAGUCUGAACCAGCCAUGCCGCGUGGAGGAUGAAGGCCCUCUGGGUUGUAAACUUCUUUUCUUUGGGACGAAACCCCUGUUUCUACGGGGACUGACGGUACCAGAGGAAUAAGCACCGGCUAACUCCGUGCCAGCCGCCGCCGUAA